rnacentral:rRNA from 1 species
GACGAACGCUGGCGGCGUGGAUUAGGCAUGCAAGUCGAACGGUAUCAUCCUUUCGGGGGUGAGAGAGUGGCGAACUGGUGAGUAACACGUAGGUUAUCUACCCUCAAGACGGGGACAACCCAGGGAAACUUGGGCUAAUACCGGAUGUGAGCAACUUUUAGUGUUUGAAAGGUGGCGUAAGCUGUCGCUUGGGGAUGAGCCUGCGUCCUAUUAGUUAGUUGGUGAGGUAACGGCUCACCUAGGCAAUGAUAGGUAGGCGGCCUUAACGGGUGGUCGCCCACACUGGGAUUGAGAUACGGCCCAGACUCCUACGGGAGGCAGCAGUCGAGAAUAGUCUACAAUGGUCGGAAGACUGAUAGUGCGACGCCGCGUGAACGAUGAAUCCCUUCGGGGUGUAAAGUUCUUUUAUAUGUGAGCAGUGCUUCUUAUAUUAACAGUAUGGGGAGAGAGAUAUUAGCAUAUGAAUAAGCAACGGCUAACUCCGUGCCAGCAGCCGCGGU